GACGAACGCUGGCGGCGUGCCUAAUACAUGCAAGUAGAACGCACAGUUUAUACCGUAGCUUGCUACACCAUAGACUGUGAGUUGCGAACGGGUGAGUAACGCGUAGGUAACCUGCCUGGUAGCGGGGGAUAACUAUUGGAAACGAUAGCUAAUACCGCAUAAUAUUAAUUAUUGCAUGAUAAUUAAUUGAAAGGUGCAAUUGCACCACUACCAGAUGGACCUGCGUUGUAUUAGCUAGUAGGUGAGGUAACGGCUCACCUAGGCGACGAUACAUAGCCGACCUGAGAGGGUGGUCGGCCACACUGGGACUGAGACACGGCCCAGACUCCUACGGGAGGCAGCAGUAGGGAAUCUUCGGCAAUGGACGAAAGUCUGACCGAGCAACGCCGCGUGAGUGAAGAAGGUUGUCGGAUCGUAAAGCUCUGUUGUAAGAGAAGAACGGAUGUGAGAGUGGAAAGUUCACACUGUGACGGUAUCUUACCAGAAAGGGACGGCUAACUACGUG
rnacentral:rRNA from 1 species